rnacentral:rRNA from 1 species
AACGGAGCGAAAGCGACGUUCAACCGCAAAAGAAGCAGAGGGGGCUUAGUGGUGGGGUGACUGCGUACCUUUUGUAUAAUGGGUCAGCGACUUAUAUUCUGUAGCAAGGUUAACCGAAUAGGGGAGCCGUAGGGAAACCGAGUCUUAACCGGGCGUUAAGUUGCAGGGUAUAGACCCGAAACCCGGUGAUCUAGCCAUGGGCAGGUUGAAGGUUGGGUAACACUAACUGGAGGACCGAACCGACUAAUGUUGAAAAAUUAGCGGAUGACCUGUGGCUGGGGGUGAAAGGCCAAUCAAACCGGGAGAUAGCUGGUUCUCCCCGAAAGCUAUUUAGGUAGCGCCUCGUGAAUUCAUCUCCGGGGGUAGAGCACUGUUUCGGCUAGGGGGCCAUCCCGGCUUACCAACCCGAUGCAAACUGCGAAUACCGGAGAAUGUUAUCACGGGAGACACACGGCGGGUGCUAACGUCCGUCGUGAAGAGGGAAACAACCCAGACCGCCAGCUAAGGUCCCAAAGUCAUGGUUAAGUGGGAAACGAUGUGGGAAGGCCCAGACAGCCAGGAUGUUGGCUUAGAAGCAGCCAUCAUUUAAAGAAAGCGUAAUAGCUCACUGGUCGAGUCGGCCUGCGCGGAAGAUGUAACGGGGCUAAACCAU